rnacentral:rRNA from 1 species
CGCUUCUCAUGCAGUCGAGCGGAUCAAGGGAGCUUGCUCCCUGAGAUCAGCGGCGGACGGGUGAGUAACACGUGGGUAACCUGCCUGUAAGACUGGGAUAACUCCGGGAAACCGGGGCUAAUACCGGAUAACUCAGUUCCUCGCAUGAGGAACGGUUGAAAGGUGGCUUUUAGCUACCACUUACAGAUGGACCCGCGGCGCAUUAGCUAGUUGGUGAGGUAACGGCUCACCAAGGCGACGAUGCGUAGCCGACCUGAGAGGGUGAUCGGCCACACUGGGACUGAGACACGGCCCAGACUCCUACGGGAGGCAGCAGUAGGGAAUCUUCCGCAAUGGACGAAAGUCUGACGGAGCAACGCCGCGUGAGUGAAGAAGGUUUUCGGAUCGUAAAACUCUGUUGUUAGGGAAGAACAAGUGCCGUUCGAAUAGGGCGGCACCUUGACGGUACCUAACCAGAAAGCCACGGCUAACUACGUGCCAGCAGCCGCGGUAAUACGUAGGUGGCAAGCGUUGUCCGGAAUUAUUGGGCGUAAAGCGCGCGCAGGUGGUUUCUUAAGUCUGAUGUGAAAGCCCACGGCUCAACCGUGGAGGGUCAUUGGAAACUGGGGAACUUGAGUGCAGAAGAGAAAGUGGAAUUCCAAGUGUACCGGUGAAAUGCGUAGAUAUUUGGAGGAACACA